rnacentral:rRNA from 1 species
UACAGAGGGUGCAAGCGUUGUUCGGAAUUAUUGGGCGUAAAGCGCGUGUAGGCGGCUUUGCAAGUCGGGUGUGAAAGCCCUCAGCUCAACUGAGGAAGUGCGCCCGAAACUGCAGAGCUUGAGUACCGGAGAGGAUGGCGGAAUUCCCCAAGUAGAGGUGAAAUUCGUAGAUAUGGGGAGGAACACCGGUGGCGAAGGCCGCCAUCUGGACGGAUACUGACGCUGAGACGCGAAAGCGUGGGGAGCAAACAGG